rnacentral:rRNA from 1 species
AUUGAACGCUAGCGGCAUGCUUAACACAUGCAAGUCGAACGGCAGCGCGGGGAGCUUGCUCUCUGGCGGCGAGUGGCGGACGGGUGAGUAAUACGUAGGAAUCUGCCUUAUAGUGGGGGAUAACCCGGGGAAACUCGGGCUAAUACCGCAUAAUCUCUCAGGAGCAAAGCGGGGGACCUUCGGGCCUCGUGCUAUAAGAUGAGCCUACGUCGGAUUAGCCAGUUGGUGGGGUAAAGGCCUACCAAGGCGACGAUCCGUAGCUGGUCUGAGAGGGAGAUCAGGCACACUGGGACUGAGACACGGCCCAGACUCCUACGGGAGGCAGCAGUGGGGAAUAUUGGACAAUGGGGGAAACCCUGAUCCAGCAAUGUCGCGUGUGUGAAGAAGGCCUUCGGGUUGUAAAGCACUUUCAGUGGAGAGGAAAGGCAGUAAGCUAAUACCUUGCUGUUUUGACGUUACCGACAGAAUAAGCACCGGCUAACUCUGUGCCAGCCGCCGCCGUAA